rnacentral:tRNA from 2 species
UGCCCUGUGGUGAAACUGGCAUCCACGUCGCUCUUUGAAAGCGAAGUUUCAGGUUCAAACCCUGGCGGGGCAG